rnacentral:rRNA from 1 species
UACGUAGGGUGCAAGCGUUGUCCGGAAUUAUUGGGCGUAAAGAGCUCGUAGGCGGUCUGUUGCGUCGGCUGUGAAAACCCGGGGCUCAACUCCGGGCCUGCAGCCGAUACGGGCAGACUAGAGUUCGGCAGGGGAGACUGGAAUUCCUGGUGUAGCGGUGAAAUGCGCAGAUAUCAGGAGGAACACCGGUGGCGAAGGCGGGUCUCUGAGCCGAUACUGACGCUGAGGAGCGAAAGCGUGGGGGGCAAACAGG